UUAUACCCUUUGCACUGAAAGAAGAUGCCCACACAUAAUAUUUCAGAAAUUGUCUAAUAUUAGGUAGAAUGGCAUAUGCUAAACUUGGUUUCAUUUAUACUAUUCUUCUCAUUACAGCUACGACCAAUUUAUUGUGGUUCUCUAACAUGCAAGUUAUUGCUGCACGGAGCGUUGAUCAUAAUUUCGCACACCAUCAUAGGAGGCUACUCCCGCAACUUAAUACUUGUACGAGAUCUUGUACUAACGAUAGUGAUUGCACUAUCGAUUGUUGGAUUUGCUGUAGAUGUGGACUCCUCAAUUUGGAAACUGACGAGCGUACAUGUGGGUAGUAGAAUACGAAUAAAAUAGUACGUUAAUGUCCUAAUGCAAAGACUCUUAAUCCAUGUUAUGCAUUUAUGUUUCCGUGUAAUUUCAAUCUUUUCAUCCUCUUUCUAAUUUCCUCGUCUUUCAUACUUUAGUUCUCCUGUUGACUUUUAUAUAUAAUUCAUUACGCUUCAAAUUUUCAUUAA